rnacentral:snoRNA from 1 species
GCACCUCACAACAACCCUGUCGAUUGUGUUCAGUAUUUGAUAUGGGUGACGCUGGUGCCAUAGAAAGUCAAAGUAAAUCCAGAUGGUGCUCCUCUUUGUGGAAGCUGUCUCUACAACUUUGAUACACAA